CCCGAUCAACCUCAUACUCAUGCCUCCCUCUUCUUUUUCUUUGGUGGACAAAGAAUCACCCCCAUCAACCUCAUACUCAUGCCUCCCUCUACUUUUUCUUUAGGGUUCACCGAUUCUUGGCCUCACCAAAUAUUUUUCAUUUUUGAGAACAGAGAUUUAGCUAGAAGUCAGAAGAAUAAAUCAAAAAUUAGCUAAUGAACAAAUUCUACCAAACACCAUCAUCAGAAAAACGAAAAAGACUAGUAAUAUUAUCCACCGUAGCAUCCUCCUGCGGUCCUCUAAACAAGACUUGAAGCAAUACAGAGCAAACUAAUAUCAAAGGAACUAUUAGACUAGUGGCUGCUCCCUUAGCAUUAGUAGUUCAAAAGGCAUAACUUGUUGAUUAGCUUGUAUUUCCCCCUCCACCAGUCUUCACAAGAGCAUGCCAUGUAUUUGAACUCAAAAUCUCUUAAUAUACACCAUAAAUACACACUAGAAAGCACAUCCACAUUCCAAUACAUGGAAAUAAUUACAAAUGCUCCACAACAACUACGAUUAGAGUAUUACAACAUAACAUUCUCCCCCACUGGUGUUGCCAAGAAAAAAGCCAGCAAACCAGCAGGUUUAGUACCACAUAAAACAUACAAAUCCAAAACCCCAAACCCCUAAACACUAAUAACACAAGCCUUCCUACCUUAAAUCUCUACAGCAGAUCAGCAAAUGUCAAAAAACCCAUUUGCCGCAACCACCGGAGACACCAAUCACCAAACCGAAAACUACAAAGACAACAACAUACUGCAAGCUAUACUAAGUACAACAACAUACUGCAAGCUAUGCUAAGUAGCGAAAUUAGGCGAGGAUGGAAUCCCAGUCGAUCUCCCAAGAGGGAUAUUUCCGCAGCACGAAGCUCUCCGAUUCAUCCCACGGCACCUCCGUAAAGUCCAAAUGCUGCAUCUCCGACGCCGGAGACGAGCCGGAUGAGCAGUCAUCGCCGCCCUCCGACGAGCUCUCGGACUUGUUGAAGUCCUCCGAGCCCAAAACGCUCGUCGCCGCAUUCGGUCGCCGGCCGGCAUCGGCAGCGGCAUCCGGAAUGGGCUGAAGGGCGCCCUGUUUCGGAGAAUUGGCGAGGGUCUGGCAGAUGGCCUGGAGCUUGGCGUCGACGGAGGAGUGGAGGGGGCCGUCAGCGGCGCGGGCGAUCUCGUCGCGGAGGUGCGGGAAAUUGAGCCUGGCGAAGUCGCCGCGGAGCCGGAAGGCGGCCUUGUCGUAGGCGAAGGCCGCCUCCUCGGCGGUGUCGAAGGUGCCGAGCCAGAGGCGGGUCCGGUUCUUGGGGAGCCGGAUCUCGGCGACCCACUUCCCCCAGUGGCGCUGCCGGACGCCGCGGUAGAGCUUGGCGGGGCGCGGCGGGGGAGGCGAGCCGGCGUGCUUCAUGGGCUGGGCCCGGGGGCCGAGGAAGCUCGGCGCGGCGCGGCCCUGCGACAGUUGCCGGGCGGCGAGGAGGUUCUGCUGCUGCUGGAGUUGGAUUUGAGCUUGGAUUUGCUGAAUCUGGACGGGAGUAAGGUGGUUCAGACCAAUCGGGCCGGGACUGCCGGCGGCAAGAAAGCCUGAGGAGGAGCAGUCCAAGAUGGGAUUUUUGAGGGGGAGGGGAGGGUGAGGGAGUGGGGACAAGGGGGCUGAAGGGAUAGGAAGAAGAGGAGAGGGAGGGGGAGGGGGUGGAGAAAGAGGGGGAGGGAGAGGAGGAGGAGGAGGAGGAGGAAUAGGAAGAGGGG
rnacentral:lncRNA from 1 species